GUGGUAUGUGAAUAAAGAGACAAUUUGUGAAGUUUAAAUAUGGUUCAAGGGAACUGGACACAUUCUUCCACCAGCAAACUCAGCUGUGCCUGUGGAAUGCCACAGCCCAUACUGCAGACAGGCAGAGGGACACAGCAGCAAGACAAGCAUUUUGAAAGAACAGGAAAAUAAAUAAGGGGAUAAGCUGUUGCUGAACUGAGUUGCAUGGAGAGAAGAGAACAUUUAGUGUUGUCACAAUUUGAGAAGACUCUUGUCCAUUGUUUGGUUUAUGGAUUUAUGGAUUUCCACCUCCAGCAAAAUUAACAAGAAAACAUAUUAUUUUUUGUGCCAUUGCAAUA